UGGUAAAGAACAGCAGCGAAUGAAAAAAAUAGUCCUCCGCCUAUCGGCCCGGAGUUGCCGGAGUUGAGCGCAGAAGCGUUGCCGGGGGCUGGAAAUCGCCGAAGUACUCUCGUCGUUCCCUUUCCUGAGAGCCCUACACAAAUCUGCUUCUGCCUAUCCCCUGUGGUACUGAGCCUCUGCCCUAUUAAUGGGUUAUAAAGUUCAAGAUGACUGCAUUCCUCCAGGAUUUUCAAGAACCAUAACAAGGACAUCUUACAACUACAGUCCCCAACUCCUGGGCCAGUAUCAGUCCAUGGCCUUUUAGGAACUGGGCCACCUAGCAGGAGGUGAGCAAUGAGUGAGCAAAGCUUCAUCUGUAUUGACAUCCGCUCCCCAUCACUCCCGUCACUGCCUG